rnacentral:rRNA from 1 species
CGGAGGCGCGAGCGUUACCGGAUUACUGGCGUAAGGCGUGUAGCGGCUUGGGCGUCCAUGUGAAGGCCACGGCUCAACCGUGGAGGAGCGUGGAUACGCUCAGGCUAGAGGUGGAGAGGUGGUGGAAUUCCCGGAGUAGCGGUGAAAUGCGCAGAUACCGGGAGAACGCCGAUGGCGAAGGCAGCCACCUGGUCCACUUCUGACGCUGAGGCGCGAAAGCGUGGAGCAAACCGGAUU